CCGUCGUGAGUUUCGAAAAGAGUUUUCUUUUCUUUUUAAGGGACGCAUUCCCUGGAACCGGGUUGUCCGGAGAUAGGGAUUCUGGUAUCCAUAAAACGCCGACUUUUUCACGGUGUUCGGAGCGCUCUCGUCGGUACGUGAAAAUCCGAGCGACGCCUGGUAAAUCUCGUACUUGGUCGUACUGAUAUCCGCAGCAGGUCUCCAAGGUGAAUAGCCUCUGGCCGAUAGAAUAAUGUAGGUAAGGGAAGUCGGCAAAACGGAUCCGUAACUUCGGAACAAGGAUUGGCUCUAA
rfam:Trichinella spiralis unplaced genomic scaffold Scfld5635, whole genome shotgun sequence.